rnacentral:rRNA from 1 species
AUUGAACGCUGGCGGCAGGCCUAACACAUGCAAGUCGAACGGUAACAGCAAACAGCUUGCUGUUUCGCUGACGAGUGGCGGACGGGUGAGUCAUGUCUGGGAAACUGCCUGAUGGAGUGGCAUCACUACUGGAAACGGUAGCUCAUACCGCAUAACGUCGCCAGACCAAAGAGGGGGACCUUCGUGCCUCUUGCCAUCGGAUGUGCCCAGAUGGGAUUAGCUAGUAGGUGGGGUAACGGCUCACCUAGGCGGCGAUCCCUAGCUGGUCUGAGAGAAUGACCACCCACAUGGGAACUGAGACAGAGCACAGACGCCUACGGGAGGAAGCAGUGGGGAAUAUUACGCAAUGGGGGCGAGCCUGAUGCAGCAAUGCCGCGUGUAUGAAGAAGGCGUUCGGGUUGUAAAGUACUUUCAGCGGGGAUGAAGGGAGUAAAGUUAAUACCUGUGCACAUUGACGGUACCGGCAGAAGAAGCACCGGCUAACUCCGUG